rnacentral:rRNA from 1 species
AGGGUUCGAUCAUGGCUCAGGAUGAACGCUGGCGGCGUGCUUAACACAUGCAAGUCGAACGAACCUUCGGGUUAGUGGCGGACGGGUGAGUAACGCGUGAGAAUCUGCCCUCAGGAGGGGGAUAACGGUUGGAAACGACCGCUAAUACCCCAUAUGCCUAUUGGUGAAAUGAAUUUCGCCUGAGGAUGAGCUCGCGUCUGAUUAGCUAGUUGGUGAGGUAAUGGCUCACCAAGGCUUCGAUCAGUAGCUGGUCUGAGAGGAUGAUCAGCCACACUGGGACUGAGACACGGCCCAGACUCCUACGGGAGGCAGCAGUGGGGAAUUUUCCGCAAUGGGCGAAAGCCUGACGGAGCAACGCCGCGUGAGGGACGAAGGCCUCUGGGCUGUAAACCUCUUUUCUCAAGGAAGAAGAUAUGACGGUACUUGAGGAAUAAGCCACGGCUAAUUCCGUGCCAGCCGCCGCGGUAA